UACGGAGGGUGCAAACGUUGCUCGGAAUCAUUGGGCGUAAAGCGCACGUAGGCGGUCCAGCAAGUCGGGUGUGAAAGCCCUCGGCUCAACCGAGGAAGUGCAUUCGAAACUGCUGAACUUGAGUAUGGAAGAGGGUCGCGGAAUUCCCGGUGUAGAGGUGAAAUUCGUAGAUAUCGGGAGGAACACCAGUGGCGAAGGCGGCGACCUGGGCCAAUACUGACGCUGAGGUACGAAAGCGUGGGGAGCGAACAGG
rnacentral:rRNA from 1 species